rnacentral:rRNA from 1 species
CCUACGGGAGGCAGCAGUGAGGAAUAUUGGUCAAUGGGCGCGAGCCUGAACCAGCCAAGUCGCGUGAGGGAGGACGGCCCUACGGGUUGUAAACCUCUUUUGCCGGGGAGCAACGGGCGUCACGUGUGGCGCCACUGAGAGUACCCGGAGAAAAAGCAUCGGCUAACUCCGUGCCAGCAGCCGCGGUAAUACGGGGGAUGGGAGCGUUAUCCGGUUUUAUUGGGGUAAAAGGGUGCGUAGGCGGAUCGGUAAGUCAGUGGUAAAAGUGAGGGGCUCAACCCCUUCCCGCCAUUGAAACUGGCGCUCUUGAGUGGAAGAGAAGUAUGCGGAAUGCGCGGUGUAGCGGUGAAAUGCAUAGAUAUCACGCAGAACCCCGAUUGCGAAGGCAGCAUGCCGGCUUCCGACUGACGCUGAAGCACGAAAGCGUGGGGAUCGAACAGGAUUAGAUACCCGGGUAGUC